UCCCACUUGGAUUUGAUAUCUGGCUUGGGAACUUCCAUAGGCCAUGGGGGUAGCCUAAAAAGAAAAAAAUAAAAAUAAAUAAAUUAUGUUCAUAUAAAUAAACUUUCAGAGAUUUAGCUAUAUACUACACCCAAUAGAGCAGUUUCCAAGAGUUGUUCCCAAGAGGCAGGUUGUCUUUAUUAAAAAAUAAUAAUAGAUAGUACUUGUGAAGUGCUAUGUACCAAGUGCUGCAAAGCAUUUUAUAGGGGUUAAUUAUCACAUUUAUCCUAAGAAAAAUCCUAUAUCCUUGUAAUAAAUGAGGAACCUGAGGCUUCCAGAGUUUAAAGAAAAGAGUAACAGCUGAGAUCUGGAGUAUGAAAGGUUUUUCAGAGGCCACAUCCCAUUCUCUUGUUUGCCACAAGAUGCAAUGGCUGCUAUACAUACUGCAAAGUACUGGGGACACUGAGAAAAUUCAGAGGGUCCCAAAUCUUAAAAAUUAUGAUAGGCUAUUGGAAAAGAUGAUUGAUAGUUUUAUUAUAACAAGAGUGUAACCAGGACUCAUAUAAGGUGCAGUGGGGGAGAUAACUAGGUGAAACCAUUUAAGAUUGCCUUUGGAUGAGAAUGAAACAUCCGGGGGCAUCCAUUGCCCACAUCUGACAUAGUUUCAGGGCGCUCCCACUGAGGGAGGCAGCAUCCCAGUCAUUCCCCUUGAAGAGUGCUCCUCAGUAAAAACACAGUCCUCCUGAUAAUGAUCUCUUCAAGGUGUACCAUUCUUUACACAAUCCAGAGCCCUUUCCCCAAGCCUUUCUUGUAUGACUCUAGGAAUUUGUUUAGAUGCUGGUAAUGCUUACAAUUGAUUUCAUAAAAUUUAAAAACAUAGUAAAACAAUGUGGUACCUAUUGGUGGUACUUUUUAAUACUUUUAAUUACUCAAUGAAUUUAUUACAUUUAUAGUUGCACAAUACUUUUUAAAAGAUCAAUGUAAUACAUAUUCCCAUAUUAAAAAGUCAGCUUAUAUUACAGAGACUAUAGCCAAAAAAAAAAAAAAAAAAAAAAAAAAGACAGUGUUCUGAAAUACAUUGCAAUGUAAUUCUUUUUAAGGAGUUGACAUUGCUUCCGACUAUUCAAGUGAUCAUGUUAUUAAGUAGGGUUCUGAUUUCAAAAAACAAAAAAACAAAAAGCAAGCCCUACACAUACAAAUUGCAGGUUUGGAUGGACGUCAGGGAACUCACAGCGCCUGGACCAGUAUGCCUGAGAAAUAAAACUUCCUGAUUUGCUGGGGCUCACAAGAGGGAAGCAUUUAACCAUGGGAGAAAUGACAGAGGCAGACAACAGGUAACCCCCGGACACAAAGUGCCAGAGAUAAAUGUCAUCAGUAGCAAUAUUUUUCCAAGCCAGCCUUGACUGGUGAAGGGAGCCCCACUGCCCAGUUCAUUCCAGCCUGGGAACUGGGAACAUAAGUGAUAAGCUGUUACCAUAAAAGACAAAUAUUCCAGAGCCCCAGUGGUGUCUGCCACCCUGUGUGUUAUGCUACCUCUGUAAGAACAUGACUUUGAAUUAUUUACCUUCCUAUUUAGUGUCUGAUUCACCAUCUUCCCCACAGGACAAAGCUUUCUUUUAUCAGCUCUUAUAAAUAUUUUUCUUAAAGCCCUCUGGCAAGCUAAUAAUUUAAGCAUUUUAAUAAGUAAUUACUUGAAAUUAUGUCAAAGUAACAAUAAAUUUAUUUAGAAUUUUAGGUGGUAGGAGAAAAUGCAUUUUGCUAUUUCCAAAAAAGAGAUGCUUUAACUCUCCUCUCUCUUUAAGGAGAGAGUGUCAUCUCACUGAAUGUAAGCAGUUUUCUCCUUGAUCCCCAGCACUUGGAAGGGGGCUCUAACGACUGGGGCACUUUUGGUGCCAAUAGUCAUCCAACAUUCAAUGAGCAAACAUUUUCUGGCUGCCCACUGUUAUAACUGGCUGCUGAAUUUUAGGGGACAAAAGCUUUUCACUGAUGACUUGAUUCUUCAAGGAGUAUAAAGUUACCAUUCUUUUAGUGUUUUGUGCUUCAGCAUUGUAGCAUUGUCAUACGAUGAAGGAAUUUUCUCAGAAAAUGUCAUUCAAAGCUACCUUUCCAGGAAACAUCCUAUUUCCCAGAACAGCGUGGGUGUGGAGGGGAGGAAUAAUGAGAGAAUUAAAGUUUCAGAGAGAUAAACCUCCUUUGAAGUCAUAAUUUAUUGACUACUUUAUCUAGGUGCAGAGUCAAAAUAUUUCAGCAAUACAGUAUGAGAAGCAAAAAUACUUUUAUGCAUCUUCCACUGGAGGAAUUACACUCUCCCCCUUAAGACAGAAAAUGAAAAGGAAAACUCCUUUGUGUGGAGAAAGAUUUGUCACCAAAUUCAGCUCAUCUGGAGAAACAGGACAGAUGGUCUGGUUCAAUUCAGGAUUGUGGUUUCGUGCCCUGCAUGAUUCACCAGUGAAGCAGAUGCAGAUAAAUAAGGAUACUGGGUGUGUUCUGGAUACUACACAGCAGCACCAUUGAUAUGAAUAAGAUGUUGGAAACAAUGAUGGUAAUUUUCUUUGAAGAAAUAAUUUCUACAAAACACAGAGCACACAGUCCUUUUCUUUCUUAUUUACCCUCUGAACUCCAGAAAAUAAAUUGUAUCUUCUUCUUAGGUAAAAAUGUGAAAACUUCUUAUUUCAGUUGUAAAAAAUCUUAUAAUUCAUUUUUCCUAAUGUAAUAAUCAAUAAAAAUGAAAUUUGAAUUUAUAUUAAGAUGUUAAUAUCUUAAUAUUUAUGGACUUUCCAUGUCAGAUAGUCAAUAAAAAAAGGAAAUGGAUGCUAAGAAAAAGUAUCAUAGUUAAAAGAAUGAUAUUAAUGAUUAAAGACCUUUGGGCAUGGGUGGGAAAGACUAGCCAAUUAGAAUAGAUGUUUUUUCAUCAUAAAGAAAUCACCCUAAGUUAGCUUAAAUAAUUUUGAUUUAAAGAAGAAAAAAAUAAUUAAAAUUAUGCCAACACACAGGAGAUUUUCUGUAUGAUUGUCAAGAACCUCCUGUUGAAAUAUAAUUGUGAUCUGCUAGAGGCGCUGUUAGAUUUUAUUUGUAAUCUAUAGGAGAAAACUAGACCCAGAGGUCUGUGUUUUUCUAACAGGAUAGUCUAUGUAAUAUCUCUGGUCAGUUCAUUUUCAAUUUUGUUGAAAAUAUUCCACUUCCUGUAACAAAUAUAUUCUACAGACUAAAUUAAAAAUAUGUUUUCAUGCCUUCUGAAGGUUGCAUGUUUUGUUUGUGGAUGAAGGAAGAACUGUUUAAUGCCCCAGGAGAAACAGACACCAAACUAACUUUCACUUCCUUCGUACUGAGUAUAUCCUGAAGAUCACUGCUCCCUUUUCAAUAUAAUAACUAAGACAUAGUAAGAGACAGAGUCUUCACAAAUGUAAAUGGAAACUUUACCUGUUUCUAACUUGUCCCUUGCUCUGUACUUGGUUUUCUUUGGGUCUAUGAUCACUGAAUAUAAGUAUUCUAGCACCACCAUCAUAACUUUGAAAUAUGAAAGUAUUGACCAACAUUAUUCUUCCACUAAUUUUCAAAAAUAUUUUUGUGACCUAUAGUUGAUUUAAAUUCUAACAUCGCUGAAUAAAAAAAAAUUAAGGUUAUAUUUUCUAUCUCCAAAAUAUGAAUAUUAAACUCUUAUAAAACUUUAAAUGUUAAGCAGCCAUUCAAGAGUCUAACCACCUAUCUUAUGCUAUCUCUGUUCUUUCCCUAGGCAAACCCAAAAUAUGGGAUAAAUGUCUCUUUGAGAUGUAUUAACCAACUACAGGUGAGGCAAACAUUUUUCAGAUGGCAGAUCCCCUCCUUUGGGAAUUUCUUUGAAGGAGAUUUUCAUGGGCAGAGGUUCAUGAUUAUACCCUAUAAAUAUACAUAGAAAACAAAACCAUUAGGCAUUUCAUAAACGUGUCAUGAUGCUAUUCCAGGAAUUUCAUGCUAUUCAAAGAACUCAAGUUCCUGUGUUGCUGAACCAUCAUCUCACCCUUGACUCUAUUUACUGCCCAGAGACUCUCGAGUUCUCUCUACCUGGACAAGUCUACCACAAUGAAUUUUAUAGGAGAGAGGAUUCCUCACUUCAGGACCUCAAAACUUGAGUGUUUCAGUUUGAAGCUUUGAGUCUUUUUCUUACCCUAUUUACUCUCACAGUCUCUUCUUAUCACUCCUCCUCAUUAACUUCUUACUCUUACGUACAUUAUUAACAUAUAUAAAGUUUAAACAUUUUAGGGGAGGGAAGCAAUGUUAUUCUAUUACAUAAGUAACAAGUAGAUUUUUUGGUAAAGUAUUCAAACAAUUCAUAAACAGGCAAAGUCUCACAUGAAUUUUUUUGUUUCUUUUCCUCAAAUUAAAGUUGUCCCCUCCAAGGUAAGUGUCACUAAAAGUUUGAUAUAUAAACUUUUGUGUGUGUUAUAGCCAUAUAUACUCAUAUUCAAAUGGGCUCGUUUCAUUCAUAUGGUUUUAUGAUUUGCUUUCUUAAAAAGAUGUUUGGGGGAUUUUUCCAAGUCUAUAUACAUAAUUCUACUUCAUUCAUCUUAAUGGCUAUAUUGUAUUACAAAGUAUGGAUGUUCAUUUAUUUUGCAAUAUUUAAGAUAAAAGGCUGCUUACGAAAUUAUUGUCAAGGCUAAGAAAUGAUAUGUUACCAAUAUUGUGGAAGCUCUGUGUAACCCCCCCUUCCUGCCCCUCCUCUUCUCCAAUGACUCUAAACUUGAAUUGGGACUUUAUUAUUCCUUUGCAAUUCUUUGUAUUUUCUACUUUCUGUUGCCUUGUUUACGUAUGCCUUAACACUACAUAGUACUUUUCUGCAUAUUUCUGAACUUUAUGUAAAUAAUAUCAAAAGAAAUUUGAUGUUUCCCCUCAGCAAAAUGUUUAUGGUAUUCAUCAGUGUUGAGAUAGAAAUUUCUAGUUCAUUAGUUUUUAACUUUUAUUGUUGUUGGAUAAUUUAGUAUAUAAAUACAGCAUAAUUUAUUCACUCUCCAGGUAAUGGAUAUUUACAUGUUUUCAAUUUUUAUAACUAAAAAUAACAUGUUGAGAACUUCUGGUGUCUGGUCUAGUGUGUAAGAAGUUAGGAACCCAUCACUCCCAUUCUUACAGAAGCUGAACACAUUGAAAAUCAAUAACUGUCGUUAGGCGCUCCAUCUGUGGUGUAGUAAGUUAAGGACUCUGACUAUAGCAACUCAAGUCACUGUUGAGGCACAGCUUUGAUCCAUGGUCUUUCACAGUGGGUUAAGGAUCCAGCAUUGCUGCAGCCAUGGCAUAGGUCACAGCUGCAGCUCAGAUUCAAUCCCUGGAAACUUCCAUAUGCUGUGGGUGUGGACAUUAAAAACACAAAUAAAAAAAACAAAACAAAAAAACUCUCCUUGGAUUUAGCAGAGAAUUGAGGUUGCAAGGUAAACUACUAACACUAAAACUGAGGAGACAGGUGGAUACAGAUACAGAAGCUGUUGGAGCAAAAGCCCAAGAGCAGAAAUAACCUCAGAAAUAAGUACCAAGGAAGAAAAUACCUAAACCACAAUGAACAAAUUGUUAGGCAAAUCUGAGAGGAAACCUCUAGAGUACCUAGCCUUAGGGGCACCUGAUACUUUUGUGAGUAUUCCUACAGGGUUCUCAUAGUAAAGCUCAGAAAAAAUUCCCUUUGCUUAUGGAGACACAGGGGGAAACUAGUCAUAUUUAAUUUUGUCCAGAGCGUUCUGUUCUCUUACCAAAGCCUAUCAUCAAGGGAAACCAUUUUACCAGAGCCUAACCAUCCUGAGGCAAAGGAAACAUCUAACUCCAGACCCCUCUAGCCUUUCUGCCUCACCUAAAGGGAGAACAACAGAAACACUGGUAAGAGUCACAGAGCAGGGGCACAGCUCAGUAAAAGGCUGAGACCUAAUUCUACAACUAUGGAAUGCAUUCUUCUCCCUACACUUACAUUAAAUCAACACGUCUCCUGUGAAAUAACAGGAAAAUACAAAAGAAAGAACUGCGUGGGUUUGACUUUAAGGAAAAUUUUCUAGGAAAAUCCAAAAACAGCAGUAGAGACAAAAACAAGGACACCAGAAGAAAUUUUAGCCUCGGACACUCACAAUUACAGCAAACAUUAAACACAGACUAACUCCUAGCCAGAAGAACAUAAAAACUUACAUUAAAAACUAUUUCAGGAGUUCCCAUCGUGGCACAGUGGUUAACGAAUCCGACUAGGAACCAUGAGGUUGCGGGUUUGGUCC